UCAAGCGCGAGAAGGGCGUUUGGUGGAUGCCUUGGCGGUAAGAGGCGAUGAAGGACGUGGCACUCUGCGAUAAGCUCGGGGGAGGCGAGAGCACCCUUUGAUCCCGAGAUGUCCGAAUGGGGAAACCCACCUGACAUUGGCCGGUUGAUCGGCGCGGCGACGCGGCGGUCAUCCGACCGAUGAAGCAGGUACUCAUUGGCUGAAUACAUAGGCCUUUGAGAGCGAACCCGGGGAACUGAAACAUCUAAGUACCCGGAGGAAAGGAAAUCAACCGAGACUCCGUUAGUAGUGGCGAGCGAACGCGGAUCAGGCCGUGCGGACUAUAAAGGCGAACCAGUUGGAAAGCUGGGCGAUAUGGGUGACAGCCCCGUAGCCGUAGAAGAGUCCGCCGUUAGAGUAGGGCGGGGCACGUGAAACCCUGUCUGAACAUGGGGGGACCACCCUCCAAGCCUAAGUACUCCUUACCGACCGAUAGCGAACCAGUACCGUGAGGGAAAGGUGAAAAGCACCCCUACAAGGGGAGUGAAACAGUUCCUGAAACCGGACGCCUACAAACAGUGGGAGCCUUCGGGUGACCACGUACCUUUUGUAUAAUGGGUCAGCGACUUGGUCUCACGAGCAAGCUUAAGCCGAUAGGCGUAGGCGCAGCGAAAGCGAGUCUGAAUAGGGCGCUUAGUUCGUGGGAUCAGACCCGAAACCGAGUGAUCUAGCCAUGAGCAGGCUGAAGGUGCGGUAACACGCACUGAAGGGCCGAACCCACACCUGUUGAAAAAGGUCGGGAUGACUUGUGGCUAGGGGUGAAAGGCCAAUCAAACUCGGAGAUAGCUGGUUCUCCGCGAAAUCUAUUUAGGUAGAGCGUCGGAUGAAUACCCUCGGGGGUAGAGCACUGGAUGGGUGAUGGGGGCCCACAGCCUUACUGAGCCUAACCAAACUCCGAAUACCGAGGAGUACUAUCCGGCAGACACACGGCGGGUGCUAACGUCCGUCGUGGAGAGGGAAACAACCCUGAUCGACAGCUAAGGUCCCGAAGUCAUGGCUAAGUGGGAAAGCAUGUGAGACGGCCAAAACAACCAGGAGGUUGGCUUAGAAGCAGCCAUCCUUUAAAGAUAGCGUAACAGCUCACUGGUCUAAUUAAGCUGUCUUGCGGCGAAGAUGUAACGGGGCUCAAGCCAUGCACCGAAGCUUCGAACUCGCAAGAGUGGUAGCGGAGCGUACCCUGACAUGAUCCUUCCGACUUGCGCGCCGGUUCGCCGGCGUGACGGUCGGAGCGGGUCUUCUGUGAAGCCGGGCCGUGAGGCAUCCGGUGGAGAGACGGGUAGUGAGAAUGCUGACAUGAGUAGCGAUAAAGCGGGUGAGAGACCCGCUCGCCGAAAGUCCAAGGGUUCCUGCUUAAAGCUAAUCUGAGCAGGGUGAGCCGGCCCCUAAGGCGAGGCCGAAAGGCGUAGCUGAUGGGAACCAGGUUAAUAUUCCUGGGCCAGGAGGAUGUGACGGUUUCCGGAAGUCGUCCGACCUUAUCGGAUUGGUCGGGCGUCCAAGGGAAUCCUGGAAAUAGCCCUCCAUGAGACCGUACCCUAAACCGACACAGGUGGACUGGUAGAGCAUACCAAGGCGCUUGAGAGAACUACGUUGAAGGAACUCGGCAAAAUGCCUCCGUAAGUUCGCGAGAAGGAGGCCUCCUUUCAGGGCAACCUGGGGGGAGGGGCACAGACCAGGGGGUGGCGACUGUUUACUAAAAACACAGGGCUCUGCGAAGCCGUAAGGCGACGUAUAGGGUCUGACGCCUGCCCGGUGCCGGAAGGUUAAAUGGAGGUGUGCAAGCACCGAAAUGAAGCCCCGGUAAACGGCGGCCGUAACUAUAACGGUCCUAAGGUAGCGAAAUUCCUUGUCGGGUAAGUUCCGACCUGCACGAAUGGCGUAACGACUUCCCCGCUGUCUCCAACGUAGACUCAGCGAAAUUGAAUUCCCCGUGAAGAUGCGGGGUUCCCGCGGUCAGACGGAAAGACCCCGUGCACCUUUACUACAGCUUCACACUGGCGUUAGGCAGUGCAUGUGCAGGAUAGGUGGUAGGCUAUGAAACCCGGGCGCCAGCUCGGCGGAGCCGCCCUUGAGAUACCACCCUUGCGCUGCUUGACGUCUAACCGCGAGCCGUCAUCCGGUUCCGGGACACUGUGUGGCGGGUAGUUUGACUG
rnacentral:rRNA from 1 species